rnacentral:rRNA from 1 species
GGGGGAACCCUGACCGAGCAACGCCGCGUGAGUGAAGAAGGUUUUCGGAUCGUAAAGCUCUGUUGUUAAGGAAGAACGAGUGUGAGAAUGGAAAGUUCAUGCUGUGACGGUACUUAACCAGAAAGGGACGGCUAACUACGUGCCAGCAGCCGCGGUAAUACGUAGGUCCCGAGCGUUGUCCGGAUUUAUUGGGCGUAAAGCGAGCGCAGGCGGUUAGAAAAGUCUGAAGUGAAAGGCAGUGGCUCAACCAUUGUAGGCUUUGGAAACUGUUUAACUUGAGUGCAGAAGGGGAGAGUGGAAUUCCAUGUGUAGCGGUGAAAUGCGUAGAUAUAUGGAGGAACACCGGUGGCGAAAGCGGCUCUCUGGUCUGUAACUGACGCUGAGGCUCGAAAGCGUGGGGAGCGAACAGGAUUAGAUACCCUGGUAGUCCACGCCGUAAACGAUGAGUGCUAGGUGUUAGGUCCUUUCCGGGACUUAGUGCCGCAGCUAACGCAUUAAGCACUCCGCCUGGGGAGUACGACCGCAAGGUUGAAACUCAAAGGAAUUGACGGGGGCCCGCACAAGCGGUGGAGCAUGUGGUUUAAUUCGAAGCAACGCGAAGAACCUUACCAGGUCUUGACAUCCCAGUGACUGCCCUAGAGAUAGGGUUUCCCUUCGGGGCACUGGUGACAGGUGGUGCAUGGUUGUCGUCAGCUCGUGUCGUGAGAUGUUGGGUUAAGUCCCGCAACGAGCGCAACCCUUAUUGUUAGUUGCCAUCAUUGAGUUGGGCACUCUAGCGAGACUGCCGGUAAUAAACCGGAGGAAGGUGGGGAUGACGUCAAAUCAUCAUGCCCCUUAUGACCUGGGCUACACACGUGCUACAAUGGCUGGUACAACGAGUCGCAAGCCGGUGACGGCAAGCUAAUCUCUGAAAGCCAGUCUCAGUUCGGAUUGUAGGCUGCAACUCGCCUACAUGAAGUCGGAAUCGCUAGUAAUCGCGGAUCAGCACGCCGCGGUGAAUACGUUCCCGGGCCUUGUACACACCGCCCGUCACACCACGAGAGUUUGUAACACCCGAAGUCGGUGAGGUAACCGUAAGGAGCCAGCCGCCUAAGGUGGGAUAGAUGAUUGGGGUGAAGUCGUAACAAGGUAGCCGUAUCGGAAGGUGCGGCUGGAUCACCUCCUUUCUAAGGAA